GGGCGGCUCCUGGUAGGGCACCUCGACGUCGGCGGCGGGCACGACCUCCCCGCCGGACUUGAGCAUCCUGAGCCUGUCGGCGGCGAGCGCGAGGGUGAGCUUGUGGCACCGGCGCUGGUAGCGGAAGCCGUUGAGGCAGCGGAGGUGGUGCGCGACGGCGGCGUAGAAGGCGAGGUGCGCGAGGGAGAGCAGCCCCGCGGGCGCCCAGAGGUGGCGGCACUGGAGGCGCGCGGGCGGCGAGCCGGCGACGGCGGAGAGGACGAGCGCCAGGAAGAGGAAGAAUGCGAGGAAGAGGCGCCAGAGCUCCUGCUUCUGCGCGUCGG
rnacentral:lncRNA from 1 species